CCGGCGCACGGGUGAGUAACACGUAUCCAACCUGCCGUCUACUCUUGGACAGCCUUCUGAAAGGAAGAUUAAUACAAGAUGGCAUCAUGAGUCCGCAUGUUCACAUGAUUAAAGGUGUUCCGGUAGACGAUGGGGAUGCGUUCCAUUAGAUAGUAGGCGGGGUAACGGCCCACCUAGUCUUCGAUGGGUAGGGGUUCUGAGAGGAAGGUCCCCCACAUUGGAACUGAGACACGGUCCAA
rnacentral:rRNA from 1 species